rnacentral:rRNA from 1 species
GACGAACGCUGGCGGCGUGCUUAACACAUGCAAGUCGAACGGAAAGGCCCUGCUUUUGUGGGGUGCUCGAGUGGCGAACGGGUGAGUAACACGUGAGUAACCUGCCCUUGACUUUGGGAUAACUUCAGGAAACUGGGGCUAAUACCGGAUAGGAGCUCCUGCUCCAUGGUGGGGGUUGGAAAGUUUCGGCGGUUGGGGAUGGACUCGCGGCUUAUCAGCUUGUUGGUGGGGUAGUGGCUUACCAAGGCUUUGACGGGUAGCCGGCCUGAGAGGGUGACCGGCCACAUUGGGACUGAGAGACGGCCCAGACUCCUACGGGAGGCAGCAGUGGGGAAUAUUGCACAAUGGGCGGAAGCCUGAUGCAGCAACGCCGCGUGCGGGAUGACGGCCUUCGGGUUGUAUACCGCUUUCGCCUGUGACGAAGCGUGAGUGACGGUAAUGGGUAAAGAAGCACCGGCUAACUACGUG